rnacentral:rRNA from 1 species
UACGGAGGGCGCGAGCGUUACCCGGAUUUACUGGGCGUAAAGGGCGUGUAUGCGGUCUGGGGCGUCCCAUGUGAAAGGCCCCGGCUCAACCGUGGAGGAGCGUGGGAUACGCUCAGGCUAGACGGUGGGAGAGGGUGGUGGAAUUCCCGGAGUAGCGGUGAAAUGCGCAGAUACCGGGAGGAACGCCGAUGGCGAAGGCAGCCACCUGGCUCACUGGUGACGCUGAGGCGCGAAAGCGUGGGGAGCAAACAGG